AGUGAACGCUGGCGGUAGGCCUAACACAUGCAAGUCGAACGGCAGCACAGUAAGAGCUUGCUCUUACGGGUGGCGAGUGGCGGACGGGUGAGGAAUACAUCGGAAUCUACUUUUUCGUGGGGGAUAACGUAGGGAAACUUACGCUAAUACCGCAUACGACCUACGGGUGAAAGCAGGGGAUCUUCGGACCUUGCGCGAUUGAAUGAGCCGAUGUCGGAUUAGCUAGUUGGCGGGGUAAAGGCCCACCAAGGCGACGAUCCGUAGCUGGUCUGAGAGGAUGAUCAGCCACACUGGAACUGAGACACGGUCCAGACUCCUACGGGAGGCAGCAGUAGGGAAUAUUGGACAAUGGGCGCAAGCCUGAUCCAGCCAUACCGCGUGGGUGAAGAAGGCCUUCGGGUUGUAAAGCCCUUUUGUUGGGGAAGAAAAGCAGCAGGUUAAUACCCCGCUGUUCUGACGGUACCCAAAGAAUAAGCCCCGGCUAACUUCGUG
rnacentral:rRNA from 1 species